rnacentral:rRNA from 1 species
GAACGCUGGCGGCGUGCCUAAUACAUGCAAGUCGAGCGAACAGACGAGGAGCUUGCUCCUCUGACGUUAGCGGCGGACGGGUGAGUAACACGUGGAUAACCUACCUAUAAGACUGGGAUAACUUCGGGAAACCGGAGCUAAUACCGGAUAAUAUAUUGAACCGCAUGGUUCAAUAGUGAAAGACGGUUUUGCUGUCACUUAUAGAUGGAUCCGCGCCGCAUUAGCUAGUUGGUAAGGUAACGGCUUACCAAGGCAACGAUGCGUAGCCGACCUGAGAGGGUGAUCGGCCACACUGGAACUGAGACACGGUCCAGACUCCUACGGGAGGCAGCAGUAGGGAAUCUUCCGCAAUGGGCGAAAGCUUGACGGAGCAACGCCGCGUGAGUGAUGAAGGUCUUCGGAUCGUAAAACUCUGUUAUUAGGGAAGAACAAAUGUGUAAGUAACUAUGCACGUCUUGACGGUACCUAAGCAGAAAGCCACGGCUAACUACGU